rnacentral:rRNA from 1 species
AUUGAACGCUGGCGGCAUGCUUUACACAUGCAAGUCGAGCGGCCGCGCGGGGGCAACCCUGGCGGCGAGCGGCGAACGGGUGAGUAAUGCAUCGGAACGUAUCCUCGAGUGGGGGAUAACCCAGCGAAAGUUGGGCUAAUACCGCAUGAGCUCUGAGGAGGAAAGCGGGGGACCUGCGAGGGCCUCGCGCUGGAGGAGCGGCCGAUGUCCGAUUAGCUAGUUGGUGGGGUAAAGGCUUACCAAGGCGACGAUCGGUAGCUGGUCUGAGAGGAUGAUCAGCCACACUGGGACUGAGACACGGCCCAGACUCCUACGGGAGGCAGCAGUGGGGAAUUUUGGACAAUGGGGGCAACCCUGAUCCAGCCAUGCCGCGUGAGUGAAGAAGGCCUUCGGGUUGUAAAGCUCUUUCGGACGGAACGAAAUGGGCGGGACUAAUACUCCGGUCUGAUGACGGUACCGUAAGAAGAAGCACCGGCUAACUACGUG